UACGUAGAGUGCAGGCGUUAAUCGGAAUUACUGGGCGUAAAGCGUGCGCAGGCGGUUUCUUAAGUCAGAUGUGAAAGCCCCGGGCUUAACCUGGGAACUGCGUUUGAAACUGGGAGACUUGAGUGUGGCAGAGGGGGGUGGAAUUCCGCGUGUAGCAGUGAAAUGCGUAGAGAUGCGGAGGAACACCGAUGGCGAAGGCAGCCCCCUGGGCUAGCACUGACGCUCAGGCACGAAAGCGUGGGGAGCAAACAGG
rnacentral:rRNA from 1 species